UACGAAGGGGGCUAGCGUUGUUCGGAAUUACUGGGCGUAAAGCGCGUGUAGGCGGGCCGGUAAGUCGGGGGUGAAAGCCCAGGGCUCAACUCUGGAAUUGCCUUCGAUACUGGCGGUCUGGAGGAUGAUAGAGGCGAGUGGAAUUGCGAGUGUAGAGGUGAAAUUCGUAGAUAUUCGGAGGAACACCAGUGGCGAAGGCGGCUCACUGGCUCGUUGCUGACGCUGAGGUGCGAAAGCGUGGGGAGCAAACAGG
rnacentral:rRNA from 1 species